rnacentral:rRNA from 1 species
CCCUAGUAGCGGCGAGCGAAGCGGGAAGAGCUCAAAUUUAUAAUCUGGCACCUUCGGUGUCCGAGUUGUAAUCUCUAGAAAUGUUUUCCGCGCUGGACCGCACACAAGUCUGUUGGAAUACAGCGGCAUAGUGGUGAGACCCCCGUAUAUGGUGCGGACGCCCAGCGCUUUGUGAUACAUUUUCGAAGAGUCGAGUUGUUUGGGAAUGCAGCUCAAAUUGGGUGGUAAAUUCCAUCUAAAGCUAAAUAUUGGCGAGAGACCGAUAGCGAACAAGUACCGUGAGGGAAAGAUGAAAAGCACUUUGGAAAGAGAGUUAACAGUACGUGAAAUUGUUGGAAGGGAAACGCUUGAAGUCAGACUUGCUUGCCGAGCAAUCGGUUUGCAGGCCAGCAUCAGUUUUCCGGGAUGGAUAAUGGUAGAGAGAAGGUAGCAGUUUCGGCUGUGUUAUAGCUCUCUGCUGGAUACAUCUUGGGGGACUGAGGAACGCAGUGUGCCUUUGGCGGGGGUUUCGACCUCUUCACACUUAGGAUGCUGGUGGAAUGGCUUUAAACGACCCGUCUUGAAACACGGACCA